UACGUAGGGGGGCGAGCGUUGUCCGGAUUUAUUGGGCGUAAAGGGCGCGUAGGCGGCCACGCACGUCCGUUGUGAAAUCGCCCGGCUCAACUGGGCGGGGUCAGCGGAUACGGUGUGGGCUCGAGCAAGCUAGGGGGCAAUGGAAUUCCCGGUGUAGUGGUGGAAUUCGUAGAUAUUCGGAAGAACACCAGUGGCGAAGGCGGCUCACUGGUCCGGUACUGACGCUGAGGUGCGAAAAGCGUGGGGGAGCAAACAGG
rnacentral:rRNA from 1 species